GAUGAACGCUGGCGGCGUGCCUAACACAUGCAAGUCGAGCGUGAUUUAUGAGGACGAAACUUCGGUCUAGGAAUCAUAAUGAAAGCGGCGGACGGGUGAGUAACGCGUAGGCAACCUGCCCUUGACAUAGGGAUAGCCUCGGGGAACCGGGAUUAAAACCUGAUAACGCCAAAGAGUCACAUGGCUCUUGGGCCAAAGAUUUAUCGGUCAAGGAUGGGCCUGCGUCUGAUUAGUUAGUUGGUGGGGUAACGGCCUACCAAGACGACGAUCAGUAGCCGACCUGAGAGGGUGCUCGGCCACAUUGGAACUGAGACACGGUCCAAACUCCUACGGGAGGCAGCAGUGGGGAAUAUUGCACAAUGGGCGAAAGCCUGAUGCAGCAACGCCGCGUGAGCGAUGAAGGCCUUUGGGUCGUAAAGCUCUGUCCUUGGGGAAGAAACAAAUGACGGUACCCAAGGAGGAAGCCCCGGCUAACUACGUGCCAGCCGCCGCCGUAAGAC
rnacentral:rRNA from 1 species